GACAGAGGGGGCAAGCGUUGCUCGGAAUCACUGGGCGUAAAGGGCGCGUAGGCGGGAUGGCAAGUCGGUCGUGAAAUCCUUCGGCUCAACCGAAGAACGUCGGCCGAUACUGCCGUUCUUGAGGGAUGCAGAGGAGAUUGGAAUUCCCGAUGUAGCGGUGAAAUGUGUAGAGAUCGGGAGGAACACCGGUGGCGAAGGCGGGUCUCUGGGCAUUUCCUGACGCUGAGGCGCGAAAGCGUGGGGAGCAAACGGG
rnacentral:rRNA from 1 species